AAACCAGCACCUCAAGUGGUCAGGAGGAUUAUUGGGCCUAAAGCAUCCGUAGCCUGUUCUGUAAGUUUUCGGUUAAAUCCAUUAGCUCAACUAAUGGGCCGCCGAAAAUACUGUAGAACUAGGGAGUGGGAGAGGUAGACGGUAUUCGGUAGGAAGGGGUAAAAUCCUUUGAUCUAUUGAGGACCACCUGUGGCGAAGGCGGUCUACCAGAACACGUUCGACGGUGAGGGAUGAAAGCUGGGGGAGCAAACCGGAUUAGAAACCCGGGUAGUCC
rnacentral:rRNA from 1 species